rnacentral:rRNA from 1 species
GACGAACGCUGGCGGCGUGCUUAACACAUGCAAGUCGAACGGAAAGGCCCUGCUUUUGUGGGGUGCUCGAGUGGCGAACGGGUGAGUAACACGUGAGUAACCUGCCCUUGACUUUGGGAUAACUUCAGGAAACUGGGGCUACUACCGGAUAGGAGCUCCUGCUGCAUGGUGGGGGUUGGAAAGUUUCGGCGGUUGGGGAUGGACUCGCGGCUUAUCAGCUUGUUGGUGGGGUAGUGGCUUACCAAGGCUUUGACGGGUAGCCGGCCUGAGAGGGUGACCGGCCACAUGGGGACUGAGAUACGGCGCAGACUCCUACGGGAGGCAGCAGUGGGGAAUAUUGCACAAUGGGCGGAAGCCUGAUGCAGCAACGCCGCGUGCGGGAUGACGGCCUUCGUGUUGUAAACCGCUUUCGCCUGUGACGAAGCGUGAGUGACGGUAAUGGGUAAAGAAGCACCGGCUAACUACGUG